AAGGGGCCUCCUUAUAGUCACGGGUCUCCGGUUAGGUCCGCUUCCUGCUGGUGCGUUCUCUGUUGAAGGUGCGCGCGCACGCCAGCCCAGAUGCCCGCGCCAGGGGCUGCUGACAGUGGGCACGAGCGUCCCACGGGCAAAGGUCACGCGCUGCUGCAGGAGGACGCUCGCUCCGCGCUCGCCCCACUCCUCACCUUCCCCUCACCUGCCUCCCUGACCUGGAAGCCCCAAGCCCCUUCCCCUUGGUUUAUCCUGGAACGGGGUAGAAACCCAAGUCCCAGCCAGCCAGCCCUGGGAUUACGCUUCACCAGGUGCGUCCGCCGUGCGCAUGUGCGGUGCGCGCGGUACAAGCGGUUUUUCUCGUUGAGCUGCCUUUGCCAGUCUGAUUUACAGAGAACCUAAGAUGGCUAGAGGAGGAAGAUCUUUUUGGCUCCCCUACGCUGGAAUGAGAAUUUCCAGGGGUCCCCUCACAUCUUGGGGGCACAGGAAGGGAAGUUAAUUUUUAUCUUCGUUUAAAUGAAAACUCGGGAAGUAAAGCCUAACUGUCCCCAAACUGAAUGAUCUGAAUUAGCUGCUCUACUCCAUUAGCUCAGAACGUGAUCCUCGAGUUGUAAGCGAUCUACUGGAAAUUAAAAGCAGAAAGAAACUGACCUUGCCAAUGUUCGUGUUGUCCAGAGCUGCAUCCACUUCAUCUAACACAAAGAACGGAGCGGGCCGAAAACUAGAAAAAAAGUUACACUCCAAUUGUCCAUUGGCAUGAACCGUUUGCCUGGAGCCACGCAGUUAUAGCUAAUUCCCUCUAGGAUCAACUUUCAGUCAUAAAAGACCACCACGAGAAAGGUAAAAGCAGAUGUGGAAGACCUGAUCGACAUCUUGAGUCCACAUUCAGCGCCACAGGAUCUGCCAUGGGGACUGACUGUGGGUCGGGCAAGGGUUCUAGCAAAGAGACUAUCGACACAAUCCUGCCUUUGGUUCUUUCCUUCUCCUGACCCCAGAUCAGCCAUUUCCCAAGACCCUCGACAUUACAGGUACCUUCACUACAGAGACCACUGACUGUUCCAUAAAAUCAAAUUAGCACCAGAGAGCAGAACUCCAGAACUGAAGAGAAUCUGGAAACUAAGUGACCAACCCCUUCAUUUUUCAGAUGAAGAGACAGGCCCAGAGAGGUUCUGCCUUAUCCAGGCUGGCCAGUGGUAGAGUGAGUGGGAUCUAGAACACACCCAGUUACGAUGGGAACCAAUCUUCUGGAACUGACUUUGCUCCAGAAGUGGGUCACUCAGAUAAUGUGACACAUUUAUUUCCCACCAGAAAACAACCACCACCAACACAAAGUUCCCAGUAACAUUUGGGGGUGA